GAUGAACGCUGGCGGCGUGCCUAAUACAUGCAAGUCGAGCGAACAGACGAGGAGCUUGCUCCUUUGACGUUAGCGGCGGACGGGUGAGUAACACGUGGAUAACCUACCUAUAAGACUGGGAUAACUUCGGGAAACCGGAGCUAAUACCGGAUAACAUGUUGAACCGCAUGGUUCAACAGUGAAAGACGGUCUUGCUGUCACUUAUAGAUGGAUCCGCGCCGCAUUAUCUAGUUGGUAAGGUAACGGCUUACCAAGGCAACGAUGCGUAGCCGACCUGAGAGGGUGAUCGGCCACACUGGAACUGAGACACGGUCCAGACUCCUACGGGAGGCAGCAGUAGGGAAUCUUCCGCAAAGGGCGAAAGCCUGACGGAGCAACGCCGCGUGAGUGAAGAAGGUCUUCGGAUCGUAAAACUCUGUUAUUAGGGAAGAACAAAUGUGUAAGUAACUAUGCACGUCUUGACGGUACCUAAUCAGAAAGCCACGGCUAACUACGUG
rnacentral:rRNA from 1 species